rnacentral:lncRNA from 10 species
CCGGCAGUAGUACCUACUUUUUAAAGUGUAAGCAAGGAAAGUUGGCCCGCACCUGUAGUCCCAUCUACCUGGGAGGCUGAGGUGGAAGAAUUGCUUGAGCCCAGUUGGUCGAGGCUGCAAUGAGCCUUGAUCACGCCACUGCACUCCAGCCUGGGCAACAGAACAAGACCCUGUCUCAAACAAAAAAGUGUAUGUAAGAAUAAAAAUUAAUAGAUUAGGCACAGGAUGGGUGUUUAAUUCUCGGCAAUCACCACUAAGUUUUCAUACUGAGGCUUAUUCAUUCCAUGGGCAAAACAUUGCGCUAUGUGUGGUGCCUGGGGUGGGCUCCAAAUUCCAGUCCUCUCCUCGCUUGCGAUAGCUGUGUGAUCCAUUCCUAAGUUUCCUUAUUUGUCCACAGAGCGUACACAGGGUUUUUAUGAAAACUAGAUCAGAUAAUCAGACACAGUUAAAAUAGCACGCGCUCAGUAAAAUUACAUAUUAGUGGAAGAGACAAGCCUUGAAUAAAUCGCCUUUCGGGGAGUAUGACCCCCUCCCCGAAACCCACUCAGGCGCUGCUCGCUCGCACGCCCACUGAGCUCGGAGCGGAGCCCGAGCCCUUUCCCAGCACACAGGGUUCAUUUCCAGACUGAAAGACAUCCCAGAGACAACUCCAGAGGCCAAGGCGGGUCGGCUUCCUGCGUGGGCCCAGCGCCGGGCACUGAAAGCGCCCUUUCUCCCCGCCGCAUUCCCGGUGUCGACUUACUAGCUGCAAGCCUCUGCCUGCCUUCCUGCGCGCCGUUCCCCGCUAGUCGCUGCUGCUGGCGCGCACUCGCCGGGUUUUUCCUCCCACGGCCUCGAGAUGGUGGUGAAUGUGGCACGGAGGAGCCGGGCCUUCCAACCCGGUGGGCCCGAGCUCCGAAAGGCCCCCUCGGCAGUGAGAGGGGCGGGAGCCCGCGGGGGCCGCGCCCUUCUCUCGCUUCGGACUGCGCAACGCUGCGCUCUGGGCUGACAGGCGGAUAAAACGGUCCCAUCAAGACUGAGAAAAAGCACACCAGCUAUUGGCACAGCGUGGGCAGUGGGGCCUACAGGAUGACUGACUUAGUCUACAGAGAUCCCGGCGUACUUAAGCAGAUGAAGACUCUUAAGAUGACAGAAGGUGAUUUUUCUGGUGAUCGAGGACUUCCGGGGUAAUGACAGUGAUGAAAUGCAGGGGACCUGGUAGGUUUCUUUUGGAGACUAACUGGGGGCUGCCUGGUGGGACAGAACAGCAUGUUUCCAAGGGCUGUGGCUGGUCAUAGCCAUGGGAUCUCCAACUGCAUGCAAGAGCAACCUGGAAAGACUUUGACAGCGCAGGUUGCCCCCAAGUUUCCUGGCAGUGUGUGAUACUGAGGAGGUGAGCUUGUUUCUGGAGCUGUGCUUUAAGGUAAAGUUGAUCAGCUUAAUCCUCCUGAUCCCUUUCCCAUCGGAUCUGAACACUGGUCUUGGUGGUCGUAAAAGGAGGAAAAGUAAUAGUGAAGCUGGCCUAAAUGUUGUAAUCUGGUAUAUGGCAUGUGGGCUAGUUUCAGACAGGUUUCAGAGAUGGUUGGAUCUCUGAAAUUGUAAAAUGAAGUAUAAUCUUAGGCUAAGGGAAGGAUGCGUGUGAAGCUCUGGAGGUUGGUAUAGUAAUAGCUGACCUAUUACUGCAUUUGGGAGGGAUCUGUCAUAGCUUCCUUGCCUCUUAAUUAAGGGUGGUGUUUUUUUCUUUUAGAUUCAUGUUACAUGUAAAGCUGUCCUCAUUUGUGACUAUGGACCUAUGGAGUUGGGACAAUCUCUAUGGGAAGCAGAAGGCAAGGACCCCGGUCAUUUUAGGUAGAAACAACAGCAUGCUAAUGCAAAAAAUUAUGCAGUGUGCUACUGAACUUCAGAGGUGAUCAAUAAAAGAAGAAUAAAAAGACUAAUAAAAGUAUAUUUGUGUUUGUAUUUUUUUGUAGAGACCGAACUGGUCUCUU